UAAAGGAGCCUAAAAUAUCCUAUGUUCUCAAGGAACUUCAACAUGUAUUUCAAGACCUAACUCUUAUGAUGGGGUUACUGAAGGAACUGCUGACAGUCGUGCAGGAACUUUAAAAAGGAAGCUUCUCAGAGAACCCCAAACAAUGCCUUGAGAAUCUUUGAAUUUUUACAGUGGAUGGCAAUCCAUGCCUCAGAUUCUGUAUAACUGAUUCAUGACAUUUACUCUUGUAAAGACUCACUAAAGCCCCAUAACCAUGCAGAUCAUAGAAGGCUAGCAGCAUCCCAGCAAACACAGAUCUACCCUCUUAGGUUAGCAUGUGGUUCCCGUUUUAAGACUGGUCUCUGUAGAUUUAGGUUUUUUAUUAACAUAAACUAAUAUUCCCAGAAUGUUAAAGGGAGGUUUUUGUGUGACAACCUAAAAAGAACUUAUACAGAACAUUUUAAUAACCAAAAACUAACAUUCCCAGAACGUUCUGGGAACCAAAAACUGUUAGUUGUGAUAAGCAAUCAUCUGAUUUUCACACAUUUGUGAUUUUAGGUAUGUUUGCUAUUAAAUUAACAAAUGUCUCUCUCUUACUUAGCAUCAGGUCAUGACAACAACAAUACAACCAUACUCUAUGGAAAUGUCUUGACCAGAGAAACUUUGCUGGGCAUAUAUCUAACAGUACCUGCAACAUUUACUUCCGCUUUCAUUUUGCUUGAUUUUGGGGUUCUCAGUGACCACUGUUGAUACCAAGGCAACAUUUGGUACAAAGUUUUGACUGAUUAUACAUGAUAAUAAUUCUAGUUUAGCUGCACAAGAAGUCUAACUGUUAACUUUCGAUACCUGGAUGUUACAUUUAUGUUUGGCUGUUUCUGGUUGCUGUUUUUGCCAGAGAAAUACUUGGAGUGAGAGUGGAGACGGGCUUAUACAGUCGAGUUGAGCUCACUGGUGAGAAACUCAAUCAAAAUACUACUGAUUACCUGCAGUCAGUGGAAUGGACUGAACUAAACAGAUCAUCUAUGUGUCUAUGUCUUCGGUUUCAAAAAUACAAUGGUACCAAAAUCUACAGUCGAUGCUGUGGGAAGACUCAUUUCUUUUUUUUUUUCUCUUUUUUUUGUUCAAUCAAUUUUAUUGAUUCCAAAGAUAAAAUAUACAAACACAACAUAAAAAAUGGAAUCAAUUAUUCACAUUACCAAUCAUGACUCUGGCUAGGACCCAACUUUUUAAAUAACUGUCCCCAAUAUCCAGUGUCAUCCCAUCACCCAAGAUACAGAGUCUGGGGCCAAAUGAAAGAUCAGUGUUCAACACCUCACACAUAAAGUUCUGAACCCCCAACCAAAAUUCUUCGCAAAGUGCGCAGAGCUCGUCACUCACACGUCCGCUCCUCGCAUGGCGUCACGUGACUCCUCGGGAAGACUCAUUUCUAUUUAAACAACAACAGCCUUAUUUUGGAGAAUGUGACCGCACAGAACGAAGGAGUCUACACGGAAACUAUAGUUACUACAGAUACUCAAUCAGGAACCAGACUCUACACAUCACCAAUAUAACCAGCUCAGAUUAUGGGACAUAGAGCUGUUUGGUUACAAAUCUAUAUGGAGAAUCAGAAAAGCACACAUAUUACCCGUAAGUAUACAUCACUUAGAUGAGUAUUAAUUGCAAAUAUUAGCUUUAUCUUCAAAAUUGAUAUCAGAGCUGAUUUUGGGGAGACAGUAUAUUAAACUAUAAUUAAACAUCUGUGUUUAAUCUAAAGACAUUUUGUGAGACAUUGCUUACAGGAAUCGUACAGGAACAGGAUAAUGAAACAGGAAAAAUCCUUAUAGUGUUAUACUUCCACUUUGUUUACCUUUAAGGUGAAAACUCAACUCUGCACCAAGAAAAUGGUAUUGUAGUUUGGACGAAUAAUGCUCUACUUCUCCGUGGACUUACAUUUAUAGGCAUUUUAGGACUGUGCAACAUAGUAUUCUAUGGAAUAUACAAAUACCGUUGCAAUAAGAUUUCGACGUUCUUUUUUUCAGUCAAGUACAAUAGUAGUAUUCAAAAAUACUACUUUGGCAAAUUAUGAUCUUUGUGUUUGACUGCCUUUUUUAAGUUUUGAUUAAUUCUGACUAUCAAAUCAUUAUUAGAGUGUCAUAAUCUGAACAUCUCACCCAAGUGUUCUCAUGUCACUGUCACAGAUAAACAACAGGCAUGGAAAGGACAGGUAAUACAAGCAAUCACAGUAAUCAGGUUACGACCACCUAGCUACAUAAUUUAUGUUUACAUAUGCUGCUGUGCUACUGCUAUUCUGUAUGUCUAUACUAUUCCUUUUCCACACCUUUGCAGGUUGAUUGAAGCCGCUAAAAGAGUCUUCCCUGUGAUUGGUGCAGUGAGGGGGAUGAAGACAAUGGGAGAGUAUGCAAACUGAUCUACUACAUAGUCAACAGGAUUAAUGAGACUAUUGAGCACUGAUAGAUGCCAUUGUGUUAAAAUGUGUUGCGCUUGAUGUUGAGUGAAUGGGUUGGAUGCAGGUGCAGUCUGUGCUCACUGCAAAUAGUGAUGAUAUAAUUGCAUGAUUCUUGGCAUACACUUCUAAUCUUUCCAUAAUGUACAGUAUAUGACUUAUUGAAAUGAUCUACUGACUUUGUGCUUAUAUGUUAAGAUGUUAUUUGCCAGAGAAUGUAAAUUAGGGCAUCUGGUAUAUGUUAGGCCUAGUUGACCCAUAUUAUGUCCAUAUCCAUGUUUUUAUUUUUU